CCGUUUCUAUUUGCUGGGGGCAUAUAAAAUGAAUAUGCGAAUCCACAGCGCCUGCCGUUACGAUUUUGCCUUCGCCGGCAAUAACCUCCGUGCUUGCGCCAACGAUCAUAUUAGGGUGCACGCCGUCCAUAAUGUCCGGAUUCCCGGCUUUCCCAAUACCGACGAUAUAUCCGUCCUUAAUGCCAAUAUCCGCUUUCACAAUACCGGAAUGAUCGAUGAUGACCGCAUUCGUAAUUAAAGUAUCCAGCACGCCUUCAUCCCGCAGCGCACCGCUGGAUUGCCCCAUGCCGUCACGG
rnacentral:sRNA from 1 species